GACGUAGGGCGCGAGCGUUGUCCGGAUUUAUUGGGCGUAAAGAGCUCGUAGGCGGCUUGUCGCGUCGUUCGUGAAAACCCGGGGCUCAACUCCGGGCUUGCGGGCGAUACGGGCAGGCUAGAGUUCGGUAGGGGAGACUGGAAUUCCUGGUGUAGCGGUGAAAUGCGCAGAUAUCAGGAGGAACACCGGUGGCGAAGGCGGCUUUCUGGACAGACACCGACGCUGAGGCACGAAAGCUAGGGGAGCAAACAGG
rnacentral:rRNA from 1 species